AAUCUCUUACACUCCAACCACAAAGGGUAGAGAUUUAUGAAACUUUUUUGGCUUUUUAUGCUUUUUUUAUACAUUUAUACACGUUAGAGUUUAGUAAAAUAGAGAUAUAGUGAACUAAAUUGUAAUAAUGAAGUUAUGAAACUAGGCCUAGUUUAAAUUUAUAUUGGUGCAUGUGUGUGUAUUUUGCAGUGCAAAUUAAAGCAUAUUAUUGAGAUGGAAAAUCAACUUCUCAGGACGUGUGUGCAACAAUAUGAUGAAGGAAAAUGGAAACUAGUGUCUAAACAAGAAGGUAAUAUUGCUUUUAUCAUGUUAAUUAUUUCACAUCUUUUCUCUCUCUCUCAAUUAUCCAUAAAAUUCAUUUAUAUAUGUAAGUUAAUAAUAGAUGAUAAAAAAUAAGAAUAAUACACAAUUCUAAUUUUUUUUUCUCACUUUCUAUAUUUUUCUUUGUGUAUGUAGAGGGUUCCUUACAUCCAAGAACUUCUAAUGAUGUGAACUAUUAAUCAAGCAUGUCCUAGUGAUAUAUCAUAGUGCAAUAAUAUUUGGUGAGAUUAGUGAAGGAGAGAAGUGUGAUGGAAGAUAAAGGAAGCAACAAAUAAAAUGACACAUGAUGCAUGGGUCAUCAAGAUAUUAAGGUAUAGGAAGCUUAAUUCAUUAAUAAUAAAAGUUUAUGAACUUCUUGUAGAGGGUCAAAAUUAGAGUGAUGUUUUUGUUGGUAUUAAUUUGUGGGAUUUACAAUGUCAAAUAGAUUUUAUUGAGAUUAUAAAUACCACGAAUUGAUAUCAGAAUGAACAUCACUCCAACUUUGACCUUCUAUAAGAAGGUCACUAACAAUAUAUUGUUAAUAAAUUAAGUUCCUCGUUCAGAUUAAGAAAUAUGAAGUAGCAUGUGUCAUUUUCUUUGUUGCUCCCUUUUAUCUUUCAUUUUAAUCGUUUGGUCCAGUUUGACACAUAUGAUUAUAUUUUAGUAUCACUAUGUGUGAUUUCUUCUUUUUAUUUCAUUUUUUGUUUCACAAUUAAGUAAAACAAAUUCAUAUUAUGCCAUGUGUUUAAAUCAUUCAAAUUUCCUCAAAUUUUCAAGGAUUUGAGUGCUAAAACACAACAUUUUUUAUGGGUGAAAAGGAGAAACAAAGAAAUAAAACAAAAAUUAAAAAUUGAAUAAAUUGCUAAACAAGACGUGAAUCUCGUUGAGCCCAACUAGGUCAUUACUUGGAGAUAAUUGAUAAGAAAGAGACACAUAUUAUUUUAUGCAAGGAAUGACCUACAAUUAUUUUAAUAAUAUCCAAUCGAAAUAUUGAGUAACUUAUUUUAGAAUCCCAAUUUUAGCUACAAGAACUUUGUGUUGUCUCAUAUUUUUUUAUUUCCAUGUAUUUCUUCACCAAAGUAUUUUCAAAUUUAGAACUAAGUAGUUUAAGAGUGUUAAUAGAAUUAAUAACAUUUUUUAGCUUCAAAAAAUGGAAAAGAAAUACAAUGGAAAGAUGAUAGUAUCAAAUUUAGGAUUGUAUUUAACAUGAAAGUAUCAAUAUAGAUAAAGUUUUAGAAUACAUUGGGUGGUUAUGAUAUUUACUAAGAGCAACAAAUACUAGUUUUACUUAUGUUGAUUCUAUUACAAACCCAAUGCAAUGUAUAAAUCAAUGCUUAAGAUGUAGGUUGGGAAUUGAAGCACCCCUUAUAUUCCUCAAUAAAAUCUUCCUUUGUGUUGACAAAAAAAAAUCUAAGAAUGUUGAUGAAGUCUUCUUAGCAUCUAAUUAUUUGUCCUAUGAGAUAAUUAUAAUAGAAUUUUGGAAAUUUAUUUAUUAUUUUAACAAUUUGAAAUUUGAAAGCUUAAAUAUUAGACUCCUCUAUAGAACAUAUAUUAACUUGAGCAUAGGGAU
rnacentral:lncRNA from 1 species